rnacentral:rRNA from 1 species
GCAUAUCAAUAAGCGGAGGAAAAGAAACCAACAGGGAUUGCCUCAGUAACGGCGAGUGAAGCGGCAACAGCUCAAAUUUGAAAUCUGGCUCCUUCGGGGCCCGAGUUGUAAUUUGCAGAGGAUGCUUCGGGUACGGGUUCCUUCCGAGUUCCCUGGAACGGGACGCCAUAGAGGGUGAGAGCCCCGUCUGGUAGGACACCCAGCCCGUGUGAAGCUCCCUCGACGAGUCGAGUAGUUUGGGAAUGCUGCUCUAACGGGAGGUAUACUCCUUCCAAGGCUAAAUACCGGCUGGAGACCGAUAGCGCACAAGUAGAGUGAUCGAAAGAUGAAAAGCACUUUGAAAAGAGAGUCAAAUAGCACGUGAAAUUGUUGAAAGGGAAGCGCUCGCUACCAGACAUGGGUUCGGCGGUUCAACCGGGGCCACGCCCCGGGGCACUCCGCCGGCCCAGGCCAGCAUCAGCUUUCCGUCGGGGGCAAAGGCGUCGGGAAUGUGGCUCUCCUUCGGGGGAGUGUUAUAGCCCGGCGUGUCAUACCCUUCGGGGGGCUGAGGUACGCGCUUCUGCAAGGAUGCUGGCGUAAUGGUAGCUAGUGACCCGUCUUGAAACACGGACCAAGGAGUCAACCUUAUGUGCGAGUGCCCGGGCGUAAAACCCCAGCGCGGAAUGAAAGUGAACGUAGGUGAGAGCUUCGGCGCAUCACCGACCGAUCCUGAUGUCCUCGGACGGAUUUGAGUGAGAGCAUAUAGGGUUGGACCCGAAAGAAGAUGAACUAUGCGUGUGUAGGGUGAAGCCAGAGGAAACUCUGGUGGAGGCUCGCAGCGGUUCUGACGUGCAAAUCGAUCGUCAAACAUGCGCAUGGGGGGCGAAAGACUAAUCGAAUCUUCUGGUAGCUGGUUUCCGCCGAAGUU